rnacentral:rRNA from 1 species
GACGAACGCUGGCGGCGUGCCUAAUACAUGCAAGUCGAGCGGAUGAAAGAGGAGCUUGCUCCUCCUGAUUCAGCGGCGGACGGGUGAGUAACACGUGGGCAACCUGCCCUGUAGAUUGGGAUAACUCCGGGAAACCGGGGCUAAUACCGAAUAAUCCUUCGGACCUCAUGGUCCGAUGUUGCAAGACGGCAUCUCGCUGUCACUACAGGAUGGGCCAGCGGCGCAUUAGCUAGUUGGUGAGGUAACGGCUCACCAAGGCCACGAUGCGUAGCCGACCUGAGAGGGUGAUCGGCCACACUGGGACUGAGACACGGCCCAGACUCCUACGGGAGGCAGCAGUAGGGAAUCUUCCACAAUGGACGAAAGUCUGAUGGAGCAACGCCGCGUGAGUGAAGAAGGUUCUCGGAUCGUAAAACUCUGUUGUGAGGGAAGAACAAGUACCGGAGUAACUGCCGGUGCCUUGACGGUACCUCAUUAGAAAGCCACGGCUAACUACGUGCCAGCCGCCGCGGUAACAC